UACGAAGGUGGCGAGCGUUGUUCGGAUUUACUGGGCGUAAAGAGCACGUAGGCGGUUUAGUAAGCCCCCUGUUAAAGCUCCGGGCUUAACCCGGAAAGGUCGGGGGGGACUGCUAAGCUAGAGGGCGGGAGAGGAGCGCGGAAUUCCCGGUGUAGCGGUGAAAUGCGUAGAUAUCGGGAAGAAGGCCGGUGGCGAAGGCGGCGCUCUGGAACGCAUCUGACGCUGAGGUGCGAAAGCGUGGGGAGCAAACAGG
rnacentral:rRNA from 1 species